rnacentral:rRNA from 1 species
UACCAGCACCCCGAGUGGUCGGGACGAUUAUUGGGCCUAAAGCAUCCGUAGCCGGCCUUACAAGUCCUCCGUUAAAUCCAGCUGCUUAACAGAUGGGCUGCGGAGGAUACUAUAAGACUAGGAGGCAGGAGAGGCAAGCGGUACUCAGUGGGUAGGGGUAAAAUCCGUUGAUCCAUUGAAGACCACCAGUGGCGAAGGCGGCUUGCCAGAAUGCGCUCGACGGUGAGGGAUGAAAGCUGGGGGAGCAACCGGGAUUAGCAU